ACAGGUGGGUGAGUGAGCGAAGUCCUCUGAGAGCAUUCUUAGAGAUGGAGCCGAUCUCAUUGUCCUCGAUGAAGCUGCGAAGGGAAGGGGCUGUGAGGGGGAGGCUGUCAGCUUCCUGCUGUGGCCCCUCGGUGCUUGGGGGGAUCACCCCGUGGAAGCCAUGGCUGCCAGAACCCCCCACACCUUGCAUGAUCCCAAGGGAGGCCUUCUCAGGAACUCUCCUCACCAGGUCGCAGCCUACAGUCCCGGAGCCAGGAACCCGACCCUAUGGUCACGUCAGCCUCACCACUGUCCCCACGAUCACCCAUGCCAACACUAGCACUAACAUCUCCACCAAUACUCACCAUCCUCCAUUAUGACCAACACUUGUGCCUCUACCUCUGUCAUCAUCCCUAGUGCCGGUAACUGCCAUUGUCACCCACACCACCCCAUGGUCACCACCCACUCCCACCAACACCAAUGCCAACGCCUCCUCACCAAACCUUACCCCAGCAGCACCUAUAAGCAUGUAACACAACAGCCUUCAAGAUCGGUGCCAAAAUGACUGCCACCAUCAUCGCCAGCACGGCCACCAUUUUCCAAAGCAUCGGACAAGCACUAGUGUUGCCAACACUGACACCACCAGCAUAAUCCCAGUGCUCAUGUCUUCACCAGCACCAGUACCACUACUGCCACAACUUCCAUGCGCCAGCACCCCCACCAUUGCCGCCAAAUCCAGUCACAGCAACACGGCCAUUAUAUGACACCAGCAUCCGCAUCUACCAUUGGCCAGAGCCAGCAGCGUCACCAAUACUGUAAGUACCAGUGCCCACAACCCCAACACUAAUGCGUCCACCAUUGGUACCAACUUCAUCCCCACACUGUCAUCUUCAAUAACUCCACCCCUUCUGUGAGUAGCAGGAACAGGACUGCUACCACCAUUACCAUCAACACCAAAUCAACACCACUGACAACACGAUCCUACUGUCACCACCAACGCACAACUGUUGUACCAUUUCCACCACCAUUGCUACCACCGCCACUUAACUCAGAGCUCUUUGUUAAUUUGAAACAUUUCCCUUCUCUGGCCUCUUUGCACUCUCCCCAGGUUCCCGUAAGUGAAGUGGGACAAGAAACAGUCUUGGGAUAUCCAGGCCCUUUGUGGGUCUUGAAGCACAGAGAGGUGAGGCGAGCAGGCUGGGACUCCACAGCCGAGCAGGCGCCUUGAGCCCCCACAAGAGGCCAGUCUUCUUGCCCCUCUGGUACUGCAGGUGGGACAGGCCAGCAAAGGCGUCGUCCUCGAUCACGGAGAAGGAGUUGGACGUGAAGAGGCUGGUGAGGGAGCAAGGAAGAAAUGUUUCUGGAGUUGCUGCCCCCACCUGACCUUGUAACCUUGGCUCCCGCCCUUGGCCCGCGGGCGUGGAAGCACACCAUAUGGAGAUACUGAGGACACAGGUCAAUUUGAGAUGUACGCCACCCAGCUGGGGCAGAGCCAGACUCAAGCCCAGGAAGUCAGCUCCAGGGCCUCCCUGCGAGAUUUUGCACUUUCCUUGGAGAUCAGAACUCAUGGAUAUUGGUUGUUUUCAUUUGGACUAAGCUUUUAGCAAUUUGAUUAGAGUCUGUCCAUCAAAAAAGAGAAGCAAAUGAUGCUUGUUAUCAAACUUGAAAUAGUAGUAAUAAUACUCAUUGAACACUUA